rnacentral:snRNA from 1 species
ACACUUUUCUUAAUCAGUAUCUGUUCUUAUCAGCUCAAUAUCUGAUAGGGCGUAAUUGGUCCAAGAUAUUGGACCUAUUUUUGUAAGCGAUGUUCCUCCGAAGCUUGCUUCGAGGUCGCCAGGGUUGGUGCGGUAGCGCAAUACAUCCUGGAGUGGGCCGUCCCCA